UGCGGCACCGUUGUUUUGGGUCGCCUACUGGGAUCUGAUCCAUUGUCCUGGGUUGUGGUCCAAAUAGAGGAUCUGCUUCGGGCAAGUCAUAUUCCUGAUCGUAAUGUUGGUAAGUUGAUGAGGUAACCAUGUAAGAAAUAAUACAUACAAAAUUAAAUACUGCAUAGUGUCCUAAGAACGCGAGCGACCAUCUCUGUCAGCGCCAUGUUGCAUCAGAAAGAACAUUAGAUGCUGUUCACCAUAAGACACUUUCCAGCUGUGGGUAUGAGAGUUGAGGUCAGAUGUGUCUGUGUGUGUGUGUGUGUGUGUGUGUACUGUAUGUAAUGUAAUGUAGUCCAGGCAGUGAGGCUAAUGUGUUUUUAUGUCUGAGCGGAGACAUCUUACUCCUUUAAUCUUUUCUCCUAUCACCCUAUAAGACUGACAUUGCUUUCUCACUCAUGAUUGGAUCUUAUCUAGCCAUAACCGCAGCCAAUAAAACAAAUGAACAGAAAUUAUAGGCUCAGAUGUCAUCAUGUUUUCUAACUAUUUCUCUUCCUUUCAUCUUUCACAGACCACAUAUGCUGAGACUCAGCUUCCGACAGAAGAAACACCCAAGACUGACUUGUUCUUGAAGAAGACUGCCUCGGAAACCCCAGAUGAGAAACAAAUGAACAAGAAGGAGAAGAAAGAGCAGAAAGAGAGAGAGAGGAAAGAGCAGAAAGAGGAGAGAGAAGAAGGAAAAUGAGAUGAAGGCGUUUAAGGUCAGAAGGAGGCUAUAUACCAUGCUACAGUGAUGGUAGGAGUCUAAAGGACAUAAGAACGACCUGGCUGUGAAGAACGGGGACAUAGUCAGCAUCAUAUGGACCACAAACUGCCCGAAAGGGAAAAUGGCUGGCCAGGGACAGCACUAAUACAUGUAGGUUACACACCCUCCCCUAAUCCC